UCUGGGCUGAGCCGAGCUGGGUUAAGCCGAGCUGGGUUGGGCUGGGCUGGGU
rnacentral:pre_miRNA from 1 species